UGCACAUGAUGAACAACAAAGAAGAAUUCUGCAAUUCUGACAAUCUCCAUGCGUCUGUUUCGGCUUACGCAUUGUGAGAUUGAUUGUUGACUCUUCUACACUUGAUCUGACU
rnacentral:snoRNA from 1 species